GAACUUUGGUAGCACAUACACUAAAACUGAAAUAAUAGAAGAUCAGCUAUUAAAUAAGAGAAGAUCAGCAUGGCCCCAGAGCAAAGAUGUCAUACAAAUUCGUGAAUUGCUCCAUAUAUUU
ensembl:snRNA U6 U6 spliceosomal RNA